CUAGUGUAUGAAAGGGAAGAGGCUUAGCACUCCCUUUGGAAAGGAUGGAAGAGUCCCUCAGGCUUACACAACACAUAUAUGGUUAAGGCAUUGCCACAAAUCUCGUGGCAUCUAGCUAUUUUCUUUU
ensembl:snRNA U6atac minor spliceosomal RNA